rfam:Oryza sativa (indica cultivar-group) chromosome 7, whole genome shotgun sequence.
AAAAAGAUAAACCCUAGUUUCCGUGUCCAACGUUUGACCGUCCGUCUUAUUUGAAAAAAUUAUGAAAAAAAUUAAAAAGACAAGUCACGCAUAAAAUAUUAAUCAUGUUUUAUCAUCUAACAACAAUAAAAAUAUAAAUUAUAAAAAAAUUAUAUAAGACGGACAGUUAAAGUUGGACACGAAAAUUCAUAAUUUGUCUUUUU